GACGUAGGGGGCGAGCGUUGUCCGGAGUUACUGGGCGUAAAGGGCCCGCAGGCGGUUGCGCGCGUGGGUGGUGACAGCUCCCGGCUUCACUGGGAGAGGGCCGCCUAAACGGCGUGGCUGGAGGGCCAGAGAGGGAGCGGGAACUCCGGGUGGAGUGGUGAAAUGCGUAGAGAUCCGGAAGAACACCAAAGGCGCAGGCACGCUCCUAGCUGGUACCUGACGCUCGGGGGCGAAAGCCAGGGGAG
rnacentral:rRNA from 1 species